rnacentral:misc_RNA from 1 species
GAUGAAGAACGCAGCGAAAUGCGAUAAGUAAUGUGAAUUGCAGAAUUCAGUGAAUCAUCGAAUCUUUGAACGCACAUUGCGCCCGCCAGUAUUCUGGCGGGCAUGCCUGUUCGAGCGUCAUUUCAACCAUCAAGCCCCCGGCUUGUGUUGGGGACCCUGCGGCUGCCCGCAGGCCCUGAAAACCAGUGGCGGGCUCGCUGUCACUCCGAGCGUAGUAGCAUAUAUCUCGCUCAGGGCGUGCUGCGGGUUCCGGCCGUUAAAAGCCUUUUUUUUACCCAAGGUUGACCUCGGAUCAGGUAGGAAGACCCGCUGAACUUAAGCAUAUCAAUAAGCGAGGA